rnacentral:rRNA from 1 species
UACGGGGGGAGCAAGCGUUGUUCGGAUUUACUGGGCGUAAAGGGCGCGUAGGCGGCCUUCUAAGUCAGACGUGAAAUCCCUCGGCUCAACCGGGGAACUGCGUCUGAGACUGGAAGGCUUGAAUCCGGGAGAGGGAUGUGGAAUUCCAGGUGUAGCGGUGAAAUGCGUAGAUAUCUGGAGGAACACCGGUGGCGAAGGCGGCAUCCUGGACCGGUAUUGACGCUGAGGCGCGAAAGCCAGGGGAGCAAACGGG